UCCUACGGGAGGCAGCAGUGAGGAAUUUUGCGCAAUGGGGGAAACCCUGACGCAGCAACGCCGCGUGAGUGAUGGAGGCUUUCGGGUCGUAAAGCUCUGUCAAGUGGGAAGAACCUGCCUGAUGCGAAUACCAUCAGGCACUGACGGUACCACUGAAGGAAGCACCGGCUAACUCCGUGCCAGCAGCCGCGGUAAUAC
rnacentral:rRNA from 1 species